rnacentral:rRNA from 1 species
GAUGAACGCUAGCGAUAGGCUUAACACAUGCAAGUCGAGGGGCAGCAUGGUCUUAGCUUGCUAAGGCUGAUGGCGACCGGCGCACGGGUGCGUAACGCGUAUGCAACUUGCCUCACAGAGGGGGAUAACCCGUCGAAAGACGGACUAAUACCGCGUACACUUGGGAUAGGGCAUCCUAUCCCAAGGAAAUGAAAUUCGCUGUGAGAUAGGCAUGCGUCCCAUUAGCUAGUUGGUGAGGUAACGGCUCACCAAGGCGACGAUGGGUAGGGGAACUGAGAGGUUGAACCCCCACACUGGUACUGAGACACGGACCAGACUCCUACGGGAGGCAGCAGUGAGGAAUAUUGGUCAAUGGGCGAGAGCCUGAACCAGCCAAGUCGCGUGAAGGAUGACUGUCUUAUGGAUUGUAAACUUCUUUUAUACGGGAAUAACAAGAGCCACG